UGGGGAAUCUUGCGCAAUGGGCGAAAGCCUGACGCAGCCAUGCCGCGUGAAUGAUGAAGGUCUUAGGAUUGUAAAAUUCUUUCACCGGGGACGAUAAUGACGGUACCCGGAGAAGAAGCCCCGGCUAACUUCGUGCCAGCAGCCGCGGUAAUACGAAGGGGGCUAGCGUUGCUCGGAAUUACUGGGCGUAAAGGGAGCGUAGGCGGACAUUUAAGUCAGGGGUGAAAUCCCGGGGCUCAACCUCGGAAUUGCCUUUGAUACUGGGUGUCUUGAGUGUGAGAGAGGUAUGUGGAACUCCGAGUGUAGAGGUGAAAUUCGUAGAUAUUCGGAAGAACACCAGUGGCGAAGGCGACAUACUGGCUCAUUACUGACGCUGAGGCUCGAAAGCGUGGGGGAGCAAACAGGAUUAGAUACCCUGGUAGUCCACGCCGUAAACGAUGAUUGCUAGUUGUCGGGGAAUGCAUGCAUUUCGGUGACGCAGCUAACGCAUUAAGCAAUCCGCCUGGGGAGUACGGUCGCAAGAUUAAAACCUCAAAGGAAUUGACGGGGGUCAUAGCUGUUUCCUG
rnacentral:rRNA from 1 species